UUUCCGUAGGUGAACCUGCGGAAGGAUCAUUACUGAGUGAGGGCCCUCUGGGUCCAACCUCCCACCCGUGUUUAUUGUACCUUGUUGCUUCGGUGCGCCCGCCUCACGGCCGCCGGGGGGCUUCUGCCCCCGGGUCCGCGCGCACCGGAGACACUAUUGAACUCUGUCUGAAGAUUGCAGUCUGAGCAUAAACUAAAUAAGUUAAAACUUUCAACAACGGAUCUCUUGGUUCCGGCAUCGAUGAAGAACGCAGCGAAAUGCGAUAACUAAUGUGAAUUGCAGAAUUCAGUGAAUCAUCGAGUCUUUGAACGCACAUUGCGCCCCCUGGUAUUCCGGGGGGCAUGCCUGUCCGAGCGUCAUUGCUGCCCUCAAGCACGGCUUGUGUGUUGGGCUCCGUCCCCCCGGGGACGGGUCCGAAAGGCAGCGGCGGCACCGAGUCCGGUCCUCGAGCGUAUGGGGCUUUGUCACCCGCUCUGUAGGCCCGGCCGGCGCCAGCCGACAACCAAUCAUCCUUUUUUCAGGUUGACCUCGGAUCAGGUAGGGAUACCCGCUGAACUUAA
rnacentral:ncRNA from 2 species